rnacentral:rRNA from 1 species
GAUGAACGCUGGCGGCGUGCUUAACACAUGCAAGUCGAACGGAAAGGCCCAAGCUUGCUUAGGUACUCGAGUGGCGAACGGGUGAGUAACACGUGGGUGAUCUGCCCUGCACUUCGGGAUAAGCCUGGGAAACUGGGUCUAAUACCGGAUAGGACGAUGGUUUGGAUGCCAUUGUGGAAAGUUUUUUCGGUGUGGGAUGAGCUCGCGGCCUAUCAGCUUGUUGGUGGGGUAAUGGCCUACCAAGGCGUCGACGGGUAGCCGGCCUGUGAGGGUGUACGGCGACAUUGUGAGUGUGAUACGGCGCAGACUCCUACGGGAGGCAGCAGUGGGGAAUAUUGCACAAUGGGGGCGAGCCUGUGGCAGAGAAGCCGCGUGGGGGAUGACGGCCUUCGGGUGGUAAACACCGUUCGCUAGGGACGAAGCGUGUUUGUGACGGUACCUGGAGAAGAAGCACCGGCUAACUACGUG